rnacentral:tRNA from 11 species
GGAGUGGUAGUUCAGUUGGUUAGAAUACCGGCCUGUCACGCCGGGGGUCGCGAGUUCGAGUCUCGUCCACUCCGCCA